CAUUCAUGAGCCCGAGGCUUUGAGAAAUGCUCGCUGUGCAAAGGGGAACUCUCACCAGAUUUUCUGAAGCUGUCCUAGAGAUACACUUUUCAGAUUGAUUCAGCAUUACCAGCUUAUCCAACAAAAGUAUUAACACAUACGUUAACAACGUCGAAAGUAGCCUACUUUAAGAGAAAAUAUGCAGAAGAAGAAGAUUUACAUCAAGAUUACCAUGGGUAUUUUCCAAAACACCUGAUACUGCCUGAGGACAGGACUUGCAUUCUCAAACUUUCUCUAGAGAAGCUCAGAUUUCUUGAAGACCCAGAAACCUACUUAAGAAGGUCUGUGUUAAUUAACAAUUUGCUGAGGAAGAUCCAUCUAGAGACGGAGAAAGAGAGCUAUGAAUACUUUAAAGAAGCUCCCUGUUAUAAGACUGCUUAUUCUGAUACAAGAAAACGGCUGAAGU